rnacentral:sRNA from 1 species
GAGGACCGGACGGACCGCCUCGACGGUAC